ACUCUAUUUAAAUUUAUACCUGAUAAUUUGUUUAUAGUCAAUUAUCCUAAAACACCAAUCAUGUAGUUGUAAUAUUUUAGGUGUCAAUCCAAAUGGGUGUGAUGCAAACUGAUGAGAUGUGAUCAGAAGUCACUAAGUCAAGCCAAGCAAUAACAGUUUUGGGGUUUCUAACAAUCCUAAGCGAACAUGCAGAAAACAGAAACAAUAACAGAAUUACUAAAUUCACUCGACCACAACAGGCUAAUGCGAGAAGUGGGAUGUGGUCGUGUAACAGGUCGAGUAACAAACAGGAUAUGAAACAGCUAUACUCGACUGCACAUUCUGUUGCCAGACACUAGAUGUGGUCGAGUAUGCUGGUCGAGUAACAGACAGGAAACGAGACAACUGUACUCGACUGCACAGUCUGUUGCCAGACACUGGGUGUGGUCGAGUAAGUUGGUCGAGUAAGUGCAAAAACUAAGAAACAGACAAUGAGAACGAUUAAGUGAUAACGUUAAAACAGAGAAAUCAGAUGGACGAGAAAUUCCUAAGGAUGGGGUAAUCGAAUAGAGUGGUAUCCUAGCCUAUUCGAAUGGUUAACAAGCGCAAUCAAGCUAUCUCUAGACAACAGGUUCAACAACAGAUCAAUUCACUCCCGUGAUAGAAAUCCUCAAGCAAAGCUAGCCCAGACUAAUUCCCAUUAACGGAAUCUAACUAUGCAGGCAAUAAGAACAGACUGAUAAAGUCAAUAAACGCUCUAAACGGCCAAUCCCUUGGGAUAGAGACGAAUAUCUCAUGAACUAGUGGAUCAAGCAUUCCAUCGAACACCUUAUGGGUGCGGGAAUGCUUGGGAUCGAAUUCCAGUUGAUCAGAUAGAAAUAAGCAGUAAACACAACUUGUCCUGAAGGGAUUCAAUCAAUUCUAAAACUUAACCAUUGUACAGACUACGGAUUCUACAACUACUCUAUCCCAUCCUUAAGAAUUCUAAGUCACUACUCAGACAACAUGCUUAAAGACAUAAACGCACGUAAAUGAUAAUAUUG
rnacentral:sRNA from 1 species